UAGGAUUUUUUUCGUGUUGCGCUUGAAGUCUCCAUCGGUGUGUAGAGUUCUAGGUAUACAAAUGAAAAGACACUAUUUAACGCUGUCAAUUAUCAGUUUUUCCGCAAGAUUUUCUCUCGGUGCAUUGAUGUUUUUUGAUCUGUCAAGUUUUGUCAGUUUGUUUUCAUUUCAUCCGGUUGUGUGUAUUUUGUAUUUUGUUACUAUUAGUUUGUUAAAUAGAGCAUUAAUCUGUUUUUAUCAAUAUUCAGAGUCGGAACGACCAUCACUACUUGCUGGCAAUUCGGGAUGUUCCCGCAUCGAAUUUCAUCGACGAUGUCUUUUCCGACACACCGGUGGCCUCUUCAAGCUCAAACUGCAACGCAUUGAUAAUGAAUUCUGCUAAGGAACUGCCAGUAGUGCACAAACACCGGAAUUCCGCUGUCUGCAUCAGCUUUUGGAAUCAAUGCGAACGAUUUGACAAUGUCGCUGUACGCCGCCAACAUGGUCACGCCACUAUGGCAAUCGUGAUCUACAUUACGGCUGCACAGACUGCGGUUCUCGUCAACAGUCGCCGGGCCAGAAAAGACGAUAGCACGUUAACGCAGCUGUGCAAUCUCAUGUUACAGUCGCCAAAGUGAGCGCUUCCUCCAAGUAUUUCUCAGUCAAAACGCGGAAAGCUACACCGUAUGUUAAAUCAGUGACUGGGUACAUUUCACUUAGCUGCUAAAGGAACGAGGAAAACCACAUCAUCAUGCUCGGUUCUUUGGUUGAUUGCGGUGGCUCUCGGGAUCCAUUAGCUCACAUGUGAUUUAGUUAGUUAAACACCUCUACCCACUGGUUACUCGGCUAGGCCGCUGCAGUCAGGUGGCUGUAUCAACCUUAAAUCGCUGCGCAUUGUAACCAUUAACCAAUGAGGUUCCGAACGCCUAUUCGCGUGUUUUCCAGUAUGAAGCCAUUUGCUAACUGAUGGCACCCGUCCAUUCGUAAUCGUUUGAACUAAUUGUGCAAUUUUUCAAAUAAUCCCGGAAUAUUAGGGAACAUCGGUCUUGAAAAUACUAGAGCAAUUUGUGGACGACUUUUGGAACGCCAGGACAAAGGGAAGCAAAACAAAAAAGAGAAACGAUAUGCUGGAGGUGAUCCGAAAAUUGUUGCAAGAAUCUUGCUCUCGGAACAUCCUCAUAUCCUACAUUGACGGAAGAACAGAAGCAGCAUCAAACAAAAUUCCUUCAGUUUAAAGGACUCCUAUGGCGUUGUCAUCAACGUCCGCAACCAUUUGAGGUCGUGUUAGAGGUGCCAGAUCCUGCCGGAAUAUACCAUCUCGACAAGAUAGCAGCAGCAGAAAAUAAAAAGCAUUUUUUGUCUACAAAUCGCUGAACUAUUCCACUUGAACCGGGAAGAGGAGCGAAUCCGAUGUGAUAUCACGGGAGGCGCUGAUCCACCAUGGCGAGGAACUGGAGGACUAAAAGAUAUGUAUGUUCAAGAGGAGAACGUUCUGGAUCCAGACAACACAAUCUGUUGCCGCUCCGUCAUUUCAUCUAUUUUAAAGGAGAACACUUGGUGUUACCGAUGCCAAUCCCAACCGAAGUAACACUUGGGGUCAUGCUUGACCGUGGAAGGGGUCAUGCUUGACCUUGCAUGGUCAACUUGAAAGAUCCCCGUCAUAGGCGAUAGUUGUUGCAUAGUUAGAUUCUGGCCAACUUUUAUGUCUAAAUGUAGACGGUGCCAUAAACCUAUACAAUAUUGCCCAAAUAUGCAUAACUGUCCCAUGUUACUGGAUAGAUGAAAGAUAUUUUAUUUAGUUAUAAGAUAAAGAUUGUCGCUGUCCGGAACUUUUUUUGCUGGCGAGGAUAGGGUGCUAAAUGUCAAUGAAGGAAAAAUACAUACGAUUUGACAGUUCGGUACCCAACAUGUUUCGGACAGCAGAACAAAGGGAACCGAAGCGACAAUCUUUAUCUUGUAUCUUUUAUAGGUAUUCUAGCAAAUAUGCAUGAAAUAGUUAUGUAUUUAUGAGUGUUAAUCGGUCUGCUUUUGCAGGAUUCUAAUCUAAUGUUUAUUUGCAGAUUUCGUUUUUGCCCGUACGUUUGGCCGAUCCAGUUUUAUUUUAAUAUCCGAAUAUCAGUUGCUUUCAUAGGCUCUGGUGUCACCAAUUAUGGAGCUCGGUAUUUGUUGGGGGUCUCUGGUAGCCUUGCGAGCAAAGGCGUAGAAUUGCCAAUCCGGAGAUGGCUAGUUCGAUUCUCGGUCCGGUCUAGGAUGUUUUCGGGUUGGAAACAUUCUCCACCCUGGGCACAGUGUAUCCAUUGUACUUGCCACACAAGAUACAUGCUCAUGCAGUUACGGGCAUAGAAAAGUUUUCAAUUAAUAACUGAGAAAAUGCUAAAUAAUAGAAUACUAAGUU